rnacentral:rRNA from 1 species
UACAGAGGUCUCAAGCGUUUGUUCGGAUUCAUUGGGCGUAAAGGGUGCGUAGGUGGCGCCGUAAGUCAGGUGUGAAAUUUCGGAGCUUAACUCCGAAACUGCAUUUGAUACUGCGGUGCUUGAGGACUGGAGAGGAGACUGGAAUUUACGGUGUAGCAGUGAAAUGCGUAGAGAUCGUAAGGAAGACCAGUGGCGAAGGCGGGUCUCUGGACAGUUCCUGACAGCUGAGGCACGGAAGGCCAGGGGACGCAAACGGG